ensembl:lncRNA
UUUAUUAUAAAAUACACUAUCGGAUUCGCAUCGGCAGAUAAUCAAAGUUAUGAUAUCGGUAUCGGACAUAAAAAAAAGUGGUAUUGUGCCAUCUGUAGUUUUUACAGAGGCACAAGUAAGAUUUGUUUUUUUACAAGGGAGUAUCAUGAAGUAGCUUGGAAAUGGUAAUUGUUUGUCUUUCUAAAGUCCUCAUUUUAAUUUUUUGUAUUUGUGUUCCUUUUCUGGCAGAUUUUCUUCCCCUUAUGUGUUAUUGUUUAUUCGAGGAAACUGUGUUAUUUUGAUUGAAGAAUGGCAGAGCAGCUGAAGCUGAGAGUCAUUGUGGCAGAUGAUGAUUUUAGGAGACUUGACGUUCCAUCUGGGAUGCCAAGAACUUUGACUGAUCUUCAGAGCACAAUUUGCCAAGCAUUUGGAAUUGAAAGAGACUUUCGUAUUCAAUUCAUGGAUCCUGACUUCAAUAAUGAGUUUAUGAACAUAACAUCAAUGCAAGACAUUCAAGACCGAAGUACAAUCAAACUUGUGUACAUGGCAAAUCUGGAUACAAGUGCAUCUUUGUCAAAGCAGUAUCCCACACAGUAUCCCACAUGCAAAAUUGACCUCAGCCUAAAAAGGCUGAGGUCAAUUUUUGUCCAUUACACCCAGCUGGCGAAACGGAUGACAGUCUAGAAAACAUCAGGGUUGAGCUUUUGACCGACGUCAGACGAAGAAACAGUGCCUCAGAUGUAAGACAGAAGAUGUCAAGAACAUUUUCCUACCGUAGACAAGAGGUGGUGCAGGGAAGUCCAACUGCUGGGGAGUUUAAAGCUAGGUGGCCUGCACUUUUCCAGAUUAAUGAGGUAAAGGCAUGCUUUUUUUUUUUUUUUUUUUUUUUGCUGAGUGUUCUUUUCAGUAAUUCCUUAUGUUAUACAUUAAUUAAUCUGGGCCACUUGGAUUAAGACGAUCCCUAAUAUAGGUAUAAAGAGGCUGGCAUUUAUAGUGAUUGACCUGUGUACCGUACAGAGUAUUUAUUUGAGCAGCACUUAAAAUACAAGUUGUGUAUGAAAAACAUAAGUGACUUAAAGUGUAGAAACAUGAAUAAAAUAAAUUUUUGAUUGUUUAAGUAAGUUUGCACUACAUAUAGGGCCCAAACUAUUUUAUAGUGAGUUUGAUUAUUGAAAUGAUUGAUUAAUCAUCUCAAUAAUUAAUAGAGUGAAAUCAGAUUAUCAAUUGUGAAUUAACCUAAAACCUUUCAUUUAGCUAUUAGUUUUUAGUUAGCCUCAGAUUGUUAAAAGCAUGUGCUAAACAAAUGUAAAUUAAAAAUGUGAUGAACAAACUUUGUUGCUCAUAAGAUAAAAAAAAUAAAUGGGUCAAG